UUCAGCCUUGUGCCACCACCCACUUUACGCAAACCACCACCCCAGUUUAUACCUUCAAAAAGCAGAACAUCAUACACCUUUUUUUCUCUCAAUCGAAACAGAGAGUCCUUGCCACUGGACAACCGCACCUCGCGAGCCACCAAGCUGUCGCCACCGCGGAAGAGCCACCCACACGCAUGGACAUACAAGCCCCGAAAAUCCUCUGUUUUAGUUGCCUAAAACAGAGCAGCGUCCCAGCUGCUGUAGUCACGCUCCAUCGAGAGCUCCACCACGCCGUGCCCCGCAGAAACUGCCGGCGAGGACCUUCCAUCACCCCAGUCCGCCGAACGCUGCCUCAGUUUUCCCUCGCUCUCUCUCCCUCUCUUCCCGUGCGAAGCCGUCGAGGACAUCACCACCGCCUCAGCCCAGUUUCCGUAGCACCCCCACGGUGCCACUGUCUCGGCUUUUCGUGACGAUUUAUAGUCGACUCGACAUAUUUGAG